GGCAAAGCUCGUUACGCAAGUGUUAACACCCAUCGUGGAAUUGAGCAAAGCAGAAGAGAUGGUCUGGAGUCUGUUGGCUAUGUACUAAUGUAUUUCUUGAGGGAAAGCCUUCCAUGGCAAGGACUGAAAGCUGGCACAAAGAAGCAGAAAUAUGGCAUGA